rnacentral:rRNA from 1 species
UCGCAUCCUGGGGCUGAAGCAGGUCCCAAGGGUUUGGCUGUUCGCCAAUUAAAGCGGUACGCGAGCUGGGUUUAAAACGUCGUGAGACAGUUUGGUCCCUAUCUGCCGUGGGCGUAGGAUAUUUGAGAGGAGCUGCUCCUAGUACGAGAGGACCGGAGUGGACGAACCGCUAGUGUACCAGUUGUCACGCCAGUGGCACUGCUGGGUAGCUACGUUCGGAAGGGAUAACCGCUGAAAGCAUCUAAGCGGGAAGCCCCCCUCAAGAUUAGAUAUCCCUCUGCGGGGAGACUCGCAGACUUAAGGACCCUCGAAGACUACGAGGUUGAUAGGUCAGCGGUGUAAGUGCAGCAAUGCAUUCAGCCGACUGAUACUAAGCGUCCGUGCGGCUUGACCAU